rfam:Triticum aestivum genome assembly, contig: Triticum_aestivum_CS42_TGACv1_scaffold_374487_5AL
CACCUACUCUCUCCGUUCCGAAUUACUUGUCUUGAAUUUGUCUAGAUACGGAUGUAUCUAGACUCAUUUUAGUGCUAGAUACCUCCGUAUCUAGACAAAUUCAAGACAAGUAAUUCGGAGGGAGGGAGUACAAG